rnacentral:lncRNA from 1 species
CGUUUGACUAUGGAGAGACGGCUUCCCCAAGUACUCUACACUAGGACUAGGCUGUACACUGAAGACUAUGAUUUAGUACAACAAAAACUACACCAUCCACAAGCUGAGAUGUACAUUAUUUACAGGAGGAUGGGAGAGCAACACUCAGAUGCACAGUGUGGCGUCACCUGUAGCACCAGGCCACCGCCCGGCCACCACAGAGGUGACGCCCCAUGACACACCACACGGAUCACCACACCACACUACCCGCCACCUCCACACAAGUGACGGUCGUCUAGCCACUUAUCAGGACUGGUGUUACUUUGUUCAUUAAUGGCUUCAGUAACGACUAAUUAAGAAAGAAUUAAUUUUGAGGUUACUUUUAAGAACUACAUACAUAGUCAUUUAACAUGAUUACAGCAUCUUUAGUAUCUGUUAUGUACUAAGUAACAUGUUGCAGUGCUUGACAAGGUUCUGUGCCUAGGCAUAAGUGCAACCAAGUAUAUUUUGCUUUAUUUCCUAAUUGCUUCCUUGAGGGUCAUGAGCAAGACAAAGGUGAAUCACUGCAAAGUCAUCAUGGCAGCCUUGAUGCCUCGCCUGGAUUCAGCCGGUGCGUGUGAGUUGCUUUCAGGCUUCCUCCACGGCUGGUGGUUCUUUGAAGGCAAUUUUCUUAGACAAACCAACUUGCUAAUUCCAUUGAUUUUGUGGCUGGCUUCCUUUAAAGCAAUUAAGUUCUUUGAGAUUCUCAGUGUGGCUUCAACUAUCAGCAGCCGUUAUAAAUAAUUUCAAGCAGGCUUGCAAGCAGCAGAGAUAACACGACGAGCCUUGUUGGGCACCUGCAAGCAACUAGUUCUGGCAAGCUCCAGGCAGGAGCAUCAAGGCUACUGUGAUAUUGUGCAGGCUCUGAAACUUUGUCUCGUAUUUACCCUCAAGAAUACACUGAAGAAAAUUUCCCACUGUCUUCGUACUUUCAACAUGGCAUCCAAUCUUCUUGUCAAGCACCAUAUAUGUAAAGGAGGAGGACCACCAAUAGUUAUAUGGCUUAACAAACCAAGUCUUCAUCUAGCAUCAGCUCACCUAGACAGCAUAACUAGAUCAUUACUGCAAUGUGGUCCUAACUAUGCAUUUUCAAGUAUGGUAUGUGAUCAUCCAUCUAUAUUUGAUCACAGUUAUAACAAGAUGGAAGAUAUGUCUGUCCUUGUAUCCCAUAAAUCUUAGUUUCACGUUCCUUACAGUGGCCACAAAAGAAACCUACACAAUGAGGGUGCAGAUUCAUCAGUGUAGCAACUGUCUGUACACACAAGGGAGUCACCAGAUGAUAGGCAACGAUCAACCAACUGAACUACAAUGGAGGGCUGCUGCUUCAUCUAUAUGGCCAGGACCCAACACAGCAAGUAGUGAUCAUAAUUACAUUCAUGAACAGAGUCAGGAAAGGAUGAGAAGCAACUAGUAGUGAGGUGUGGUUGGUCAACACUCCUGACUGUUGAGUUGAGGGAAAAGUAGAGGGGGUAGUAGGAAACAGAACCUGUACAAGGAUGGAAGAGUACAAGCAACAAAACUAUUAUGGCUGUAGUAGUGAGAGUAGUAGUGGUAGUGGUAAAAGUGGUAGUAAUAGUAGUAAGGCUAUUGCUGCAUGAAAAGCACAACAUCGUACCAAAGUAGCUGAGAACUGAGGCACAAAAUCAGGAGAUAAAACAGGAGCCGACUGAGGAGUACUCAGCUGCAAAAGAAACGAGUGAAAUAGUACAAAUUCCCAGUGACCACCAGCCCAGCUGCCACUUGCUGUCAGUGAUGCACUAGUCAGGCACAGCAAAGCCCCAUCUUCCUUACAUCUCAAGACUUUUUUAGUUUGUGCUGUUAUAUUGCAUCAAUACCCCAGUGUUUACUUUAUUUAAUUUGUAGAUAGUUAGUUAAUAAAGCAACCUGGUUUUUAUUCUGUUGAAUGUUUAAAAUGUAUUGCAAACUGCAAGAUACACAAUAAUUUGUUAAGAUGAGGCUUUGCUGUGCUGAGAAAAGUAACCUUCCACCAUCCUAACUGAUAUUAAAAGAGGUAAAUACUUUAACUUAGUGAUGUGAUACAGUGGCUGUAAAUAACCUAAAACAGAAGGAAAAGUUAAAUCUACUUAAGAGGUGAAAAGCCUUGAAUCCCCCAGUGUGGUAAGGAAUGAGAGGGACAAUGUGGCUAACAGCAACAUAACUGGAAUAGAUGAUGCAGUGGCUGAUGCUUUCUAUUCAUGGGAUUAUUAAAAUUUUGUGAGUAAGGUGAAGAGCUCAGGACUUUGAGUUAAUCCAAAAGCAUUAUACACAAAAAAAGUGUACUCAAUCACCAGACCAAAACAAGCAACUACCUUCCAGCAUUCCAUAUUGAAGAGAUGGUUACUGAGCAAAGAAAAAUAAAAAAAGGGAUGUUUUGCUAUUAUAAAAUUAUUCUUUGUGCAUUAUUUCAUUCCCUUGAAAACAAAGGGCAGAGCACAACAGAUUUGCACCAACACCAUGACUUGUGCUGUUAGAGGAAGGGGAGGAAGGGAGAAAUGUUGAGGAAGGAGGAGAGGAGAUAAAAGAGAAGAGAGAAGGCCAGAUUAGAAGUGGAAGAUGGCAGUUGCCAUGAAGCUUCAUGUGUCAUUCAAUUAUAGAAUCCCAGUAAGAACUAAUUAUUUCACUUGUUAUCCUGAACUUGAUGCUAUUCUUGAAAAUAAUAAAAACUAAAAUAACCUGAACAAAAAAAAAAGCUUGCACAUAAUCUUAAAUGUAAUUCAUGAAAAAGGAAAAAAAGACUUGUUAGUUACAAUACUACUCAUCCCAUGCCUUCAAAUUAUACCUGGUUUAAAUACCCUUAUUUUUUGUAUACUGUGGCAUACCCAGUGACUAGCAUUUAUGUACUUCAGUUAUUGAGAAGCCUGAACACUCAAUGGUCUGUGUUGUAAAGAAAACAAUUUUACCUGUGGUGGAUGACGUCAAACUCUCACAGUAAUUACCACAUUACCAACACAUACUGAGGAUGGCUAAUAUUUAAGAACUGUUCAUGGUGGUAGUUAAUUAAUAGGAUCUGUUAGGAUUGUAUGUUUCUGCAUUCCAAUAACUCACUCCACUGCCUGGUUCACUCCUAUGCCACAGUACACAGCUUGCAUGAUACCUGAAGAUUAUUUUUAGUCCUUACUGAGGCUCAGUUCCACGCCGAGUGACCAGACCUCAGGUGGUAGGAGACGCCCCUUACCUGCUGAUAUUCCGCGGAGACUCUCUUGUUGGACACCCUCCGGAAUAGUGAAGUUUUCCGUCUCUUCUCCGACUCCUUCUUGGAGCGGCGUGGUUUGGCUGCUGGUAAACGCUUGGCCAGCUUGGACGCGCCUGGGUGUCUCUUCCGCCCACCUGGGAUGGAAGGAAUAGUAAGAAAAUGCUAACCUACGACUCCACAACAUUCUGAAGGAACAUAUCUGCCUUGGAUUAACAUCACAAAUUGAAGUUUUACUAUCUGACUGUAAUUUGGGGAAACAUGGAAAUACACAGCUAUACAACACUUAAAAGAGAAAUGUCCACAUUGCCUGACAUAAAAAAAAUAUACAACUUUCACAUUCAUUCUCAUGCAUACUACUACCUUAUGGCUAUACAAAAGGAAGGAUUGUCACUACACAUAGCUCAAUAUAUAUAGAAAACAGAUCAAAUAACCAAACAUGUGGAUGAGUAGAUGUAUCUUUACUCAUCCAACUUGAACUCCUAACCUGCCCAGCCACCCACCUGCCCUGAUGGAGGUCUGGUCCAGCGGCAUUGAGCGAAGGGACACGUGGUCGGUGGAACUCAUGAGCAGCGUGACGACCUGGGUGUGGAACAUUCCCUGGAUGGGCUCCCCGUUGAUGUGGGUGAUGAGUUCCCCGGGACGCAGGCCGGCCUCAAAUGCUGGACUCCUCUGGUCCACAUCCUGCAGGGAAGAGUGUUGAGUAGUGACAGUGAUAGCAGGACAAUGACAGUAGUAAUAAAUAGGUAAGGAAAUAGUCAAAACUUUAAUAUUUGAGUUUGUGAAAUAUAUUGCAUCUAAACAGAACACUACCUUCAUUGACUACAACUACAAAAGUUCUAAUAGCUUUUCUUUCUUAAUUUCAAUCUAUAAAACAAAUGUAAAAUUUCCUCAAUUUUUCAAUUAAUGUCAGUUGUUAGUAAGAAAAUUACUUCAAAAUGCAUCAGUUGGUAAUUCUUGACACCCCCUGCAAUCAUACCAGCCCUCAGCCCUGCACCCUCAUACCCCUCACAGCCUUACCAUGACCAGGUGAUGCACUGUGUAGUAGUCAGAGUCCCCGAAGUAGACCCUGAUGGCUCGGAUAGUGAAGCCGAAGCCCUG